AUGCAAGUCGAACGAACUCUGGUAUUGAUUGGUGCUUGCAUCAUGAUUUACAUUUGAGUGAGUGGCGAACUGGUGAGUAACACGUGGGAAACCUGCCCAGAAGCGGGGGAUAACACCUGGAAACAGAUGCUAAUACCGCAUAACAACUUGGACCGCAUGGUCCGAGUUUGAAAGAUGGCUUCGGCUAUCACUUUUGGAUGGUCCCGCGGCGUAUUAGCUAGAUGGUGGGGUAACGGCUCACCAUGGCAAUGAUACGUAGCCGACCUGAGAGGGUAAUCGGCCACAUUGGGACUGAGACACGGCCCAAACUCCUACGGGAGGCAGCAGUAGGGAAUCUUCCACAAUGGACGAAAGUCUGAUGGAGCAACGCCGCGUGAGUGAAGAAGGGUUUCGGCUCGUAAAACUCUGUUGUUAAAGAAGAACAUAUCUGAGAGUAACUGUUCAGGUAUUGACGGUAUUUAACCAGAAAGCCACGGCUAACUACGUGCCAGCAGCCGCGGUAAUACGUAGGUGGCAAGCGUUGUCCGGAUUUAUUGGGCGUAAAGCGAGCGCAGGCGGUUUUUUAAGUCUGAUGUGAAAGCCUUCGGCUCAACCGAAGAAGUGCAUCGGAAACUGGGAAACUUGAGUGCAGAAGAGGACA
rnacentral:rRNA from 1 species